rnacentral:rRNA from 1 species
UUUUUUUAAAAGCUUAAAAAAUAUAACCUGCCCACUGAGGAAUUAAAGGGCUGCAGGAUUUAACUGUGCGAAGGUAGCAUAAUAAUUAGUUUUUUAAUUAAGGAAUGGAAUGAAUGGUUGAAUCGUGUUUUAUUUUUAUUUUAUUUGUUUACUGAAAUUGAACAUUAAGUGAAAAUGCUUAGGUUAUCCUAAAAGACGAUAAGACCCUAUAGAUCUUUAUUUUUGUAUCACAACACUCAGUAGAUGAUGUUUUAGUGGUGUAAAAGUUUUGCUGGGGUGGUAUAAGAAAUUAAAAAACUUCUUAUAAUUCAAUAACUUAAAAUUAGAAUAAAAAAGAUACCUUAGGGAUAACAGCGUUAUUAAAUUUUAGAGAUCUUAUCGAUAAUUUAGUUUGCGACCUCGAUGUUGAAUUAAGAAGUUAGUUUUUAGCAGCAUAAAAAUUAUAUAGUCUGUUCGACUAUUAAUAUCUUACA